UACGUAGGGUGCGAGCGUUGUCCGGAAUUAUUGGGCGUAAAGGGCUCGUAGGCGGUUUGUCGCGUCGGGAGUGAAAAUCCAGGGCUUAACUCUGGACUGGCUUCCGAUACGGGCAGACUAGAGGUAUGCAGGGGAGACUGGAAUUCCUGGUGUAGCGGUGAAAUGCGCAGAUAUCAGGAGGAACACCGGUGGCGAAGGCGGGUCUCUGGGCAAUAACUGACGCUGAGGCGCGAAAGCGUGGGGAGCAAACAGG
rnacentral:rRNA from 1 species